UCGAGGAUCUUCGUCAAUGGGCGCAAGCCUGAACGAGCGACGCCGCGUGUGGGAUGAAGGCCUUCGGGUUGUAAACCACUGUCGAGGGGGAGAAAGGCGCAAGCUUGAUCGACCCCUGGAGGAAGGACGGGCUAAGUUCGUGCCAGCAGCCGCGGUAAGACGAACCGUCCUAACGUUGUUCGGAAUCACUGGGCUUAAAGGGCGCGUAGGCGGCCUUGAAAGUCGGGGGUGAAAUCCCACGGCCUAACCGUGGAAGUGCCUCCGAUACUGCAAGGCUCGAGGGAGGUAGGGGCAGCGGGAACUUCCGGUGGAGCGGUGAAAUGCGUUGAUAUCGGAAGGAACGCCGGUGGCGAAAGCGCGCUGCUGGACCUCUGCUGACGCUGAGGCGCGAAAGCCAGGGGAGCAAACGG
rnacentral:rRNA from 1 species